rnacentral:rRNA from 1 species
GAUGAACGCUGGCGGCGUGCUUAACACAUGCAAGUCGAGCGAAGCAUUUUAAAGGAAGUUUUCGGAUGGAAUUUAAGAUGACUUAGCGGCGGACGGGUGAGUAACGCGUGGGUAACCUGCCUCAUACAGGGGGAUAACAGUUAGAAAUGACUGCUAAUACCGCAUAAGCGCACAGUGCUGCAUAGCACAGUGUGAAAAACUCCGGUGGUAUGAGAUGGACCCGCGUCUGAUUAGGUAGUUGGUGAGGUAACGGCCCACCAAGCCGACGAUCAGUAGCCGACCUGAGAGGGUGACCGGCCACAUUGGGACUGGGACACGGCCCAAACUCCUACGGGAGGCAGCAGUGGGGAAUAUUGGACAAUGGGGGAAACCCUGAUCCAGCGACGCCGCGUGAGUGAAGAAGUAUUUCGGUAUGUAAAGCUCUAUCAGCAGGGAAGAAAAUGACGGUACCUGACUAAGAAGCCCCGGCUAACUACGUGCCAGCCGCCGCAGUAAUAC